rnacentral:sRNA from 1 species
AGGCUUAUUGAGGAUACUAAAUUGGAAUUCUCUAUUUUAUUUUAAUGCUUAUUUUGAAAUGAUAUUGAGGACAGAACAGAUUUCAAGUUUGAGGGAUUGAUGUCAAGUUGGUUUAAGUGAUGAAUUAAAAUUACAUGUUAGGUUUGAAAAUCUUUUUAGUGAAAUAAAAGGAAUUCUGAUAAUCUUCUUGACUUUUCUCUUGCUAUUACUAGCUAACUUGAAGUUAAAGCAUCUUAAGUCCUUAGUACAG